GCCGACUUAGCUCAGUUGGUAGAGCAACGGUUUUGUAAACCGUAGGUCGUCAGUUCAAGCCUGACAGUCGGCUCCA
rnacentral:tRNA from 1 species